UACGUAGGGUGCAAGCGUUGUCCGGAAUUAUUGGGCGUAAAGAGCUUGUAGGCGGUUUGUCGCGUCUGCUGUGAAAUUUCGGGGCUCAACCCCGAACUUGCAGUGGGUACGGGCAGACUAGAGUGUGGUAGGGGAGACUGGAAUUCCUGGUGUAGCGGUGAAAUGCGCAGAUAUCAGGAGGAACACCGGUGGCGAAGGCGGUUCUCUGGCAUUACCUGACGCUGAGGAGCGAAAGCAUGGGGAGCGAACAGG
rnacentral:rRNA from 1 species